GACGAACGCUGGCGGCGUGCUUAACACAUGCAAGUCGAACGGAAAGGCCUCAGCUUGCUGGGGUACUCGAGUGGCGAACGGGUGAGUAACACGUGGGUGAUCUGCCUUGCACUCUGGGAUAAGCUUGGGAAACUGGGUCUAAUACCGGAUAUGAACUGCCUUUAGUGUGGUGGUUGGAAAGUUUUUUCGGUGCAAGAUGAGCUCGCGGCCUAUCAGCUUGUUGGUGGGGUAAUGGCCUACCAAGGCGUCGACGGGUAGCCGGCCUGAGAGGGUGUACGGCCACAUUGGGACUGAGAUACGGCCCCGACUCCUACGGGAGGCAGCAGUGGGGAAUAUUGCACGAUGGGCGGAAGCCUGAUGCAGCGACGCCGCGUGGGGGAUGACGGCCUUCGGGUUGUAAACUCCUUUCGACAGGGACGAAGCUUUUUGUGACGGUACCUGUAUAAGAAGCACCGGCUAACUACGUG
rnacentral:rRNA from 1 species